CGUCUCUCGCUUGCAGAACUUGAGCCCCUUUUGGUUCUUCAAGAAUUCAUUAUUUGUUGUGUAAUAGCAUUGGAUUUGUACUAUAUUUUGUAUGCUUAUGUGUUAAUUGCCAAUCAUUGAAAUUUCUUUUUGUUUUUUUAUUUCGUGUCCAACGUUUCUUUCUUAUUUCUUGUUUUCGUAAAUUGAAUUAGAAUUUUUACUUGUGGUACUUAAAGCUUGCUCGUGGUUUUCAUAUUUAAAAUUAAAAGUUAUAAGAAGCUAUGAUGAUCUUAUUCGCCUGAAGGUAUAGAUUUAAAAAUAAAUCGUUUAUAAUAACCUAGCAUAUUUGGUUGAGUCUUGUCAAUAUAUCUCCAACUAAAGGUCGAUCAGAACUU
rnacentral:lncRNA from 1 species